UAGGACCAUAUCACGUUGAAACAUCGGUUCUCGUACGAUCAGUUAAGCGACGUUGAGCUUGGUCAGUACCAAGAUGGGUGACCGGUUGGGUAUACAGGUGCUGUGA